rnacentral:rRNA from 1 species
GAUGAACUGUGGGUAGCGGAGAAAUUCCAAUCGAACCCGGAGAUAGCUGGUUCUCUCCGAAAUAGUUUUAGGACUAGCCUCGUAUUAGAUUACCGGAGGUAAAGCACUGAAUGAGCUAGGGGCCGAGAGGUUACUGAACUCUAUCAAACUCAGAAUGCCGGAUAAUUGAUGUACGGGAGUCAGACAGUGUGAGAUAAGUUUCAUUGUCAAAAGGGAAACAGCCCAGACCCACAGCUAAGGUCCCAAAGUACGGUUAAGUGGAAAAGGAUGUGGGGUUGCACAGACAACCAGGAUGUUGGCUUAGAAGCAGCCACUCAUUAAAAGAGUGCGUAAUAGCUCACUGGUCGAGUGACCCUGCGCCGAAAAUUUAACGGGGCUAAAUCGUACACCGAAGCUUGGGAUGCAGUAAUGCAUGGUAGGAGAGCGUCGUAUAAGGGGUGAAGUCAGAGCGUAAGCGUUGGUGGACUUUAUACGAGUGAGAAUGCCGGAAUGAGUAGCGAGAAAUAUGUGAGAAUCAUAUUGGCCGAAAGUCUAAGGUUUUUGGAGGAAGGUUCGUCCGCUCCAAGUAAGCCGGGAGCUAAGGUGAGGCCGAAAGGCGUAGCCGAUGCACAUACGGUAGAUAUUCCGUAGCCGCCAAAAGAUUUAAGUAAGAGGACACCUUGAAAGGACUUGACCCGGGCGAUGGUUGCCCCGGGCGAAAGGGACCGAAAUUUAGUAGGGAAGCAAGUUUGGACGAGGGCGAGAAAAGUCUUAUGUAUAUCUUCGGCGCCCGUACCGCAAACCGACACAGGUAGAUAGGAAGAGAAUUCUAAGGCCAACGGGAGAAGGGUAGUUAAGGAACUCGGCAAAUUGACCCCGUAACUUAGGAAUAAGGGGUGCCACAGCGAUGUGGUCGCAGAGAAUAGGCCCAGGCAACUGUUUAUCAAAAACACAGGUCUCUGCCAAAUCGAAAGAUGAAGUAUAGGGGCUGACACCUGCCCGGUGCUGGAAGGUUAAGAGGAGAUGUGCAAGCAUUGAAUUGAAGCCCCAGUAAACGGCGGCCGUAACAAUAACGGUCCUAAGGUAGCGAAAUUCCUUGUCGGGUAAGUUCCGACCCGCACGAAUGGUGUAAUGAUCUGGGCACUGUCUCAACUACCCGCCCGGCGAAAUUGUAGUACCGGUGAAGAUGCCGGUUACCCGCGACAAGACGGAAAGACCCCAUGGAGCUUUACUGUAGCUUAAUAUUGGGUUUCGAUAAUUUAUGUAUAGGAUAGGCGGGAGACUAGGAAACCGUGGCGCCAGCCACGGCGGAGUCGACGUUGGAAUACCGCUCUUAAGUUAUUGGAAUUCUAACCUGCGGCCAUGAAUCUGGCCGGGGGACAUUGUUAGGUGGGCAGUUUGACUGGGGCGGUCGCCUCCAAAAAGGUAACGGAGGCGCUCAAAGGUUGGCUCAGCAUGGUUGGAAACCAUGCCUUAGAGUGUAAACGCGUAAGCCAGCCUAACUGCGAGGAUGACGGUCCGAGCAGUAACGAAAGUUGGAGUUAGUGAUCCGGCGGUAUGAGAGUGGAAUUGCCGUCGCUCA